rnacentral:snRNA from 2 species
AGAUGUGAAGGAGAUCUGGCUUUGACUCACACCAUCCUGUUGAUCAGUGAUCUUACUGGCUAGGAAGGUGAUCCUUGUUUUUUCAUCUCUCCAAAUGCAUCUCUCCUAGUGCUGCUCAUGCUCCAGACAGAAGAGAGGGCUUUGUUCAAAAAUAUAUGAGAAAUUUCAUUUCUCUAGCAGAGGCUCCAAAACCAAACCAAAACAAACUUUUUGAAGGUAAUUAAAUCAACAGAGUAGACCAGAAGAUCU